GAUGAACGCUGGCGGCAUGCUUAACACAUGCCAGUCGAACGGGAAGUGGUGUUUCCCGUGGCGAACGGGUGAGUAACGCGUAAGAACCUGCCCUUGGGAGGGGAACAACAACUGUAAACGGGUGCUAAUACCCCGUAGGCUGAGGAGCAAAAGGAGAAAUCCGCCCAAGGAGGGGCUGGGGUAUGGUUAGCUAGUUGGUUAGGUAAUAGCUUACCAAGGCGAUGAUUAGUAGGUGGUCCGAGAGGAUGAUCAGCCACACUGGGACUGGGACCCGGCGCAGGCUCCAUCGGGAGGCAGCAGCGGGGAAUUUUCAGCAAUGGGCGAAAGCCUGACGGAGCAAUGGCGUGGGGAGGUGGUAGGCCUACGGGUCGACAACUUCUUUUCUCGGAGAAGAAACAAUGACGGUAUCUGAGGAAUAAGCAUCGGCUAACUCCGUG
rnacentral:rRNA from 1 species